rnacentral:rRNA from 1 species
UAGGACAGAGGUGGAAGUGUGGUAACACAUGGAGCUGACUGUUACUAAUAGGUCGAGGGCAUAACCAAG